GUUUCUUCCUUCCACAGGUAUAGUUUCUAGAUGCUGAUUUAAUCUUUUAGUUUAGUUUUUUUUUUUUUUUUUUUUUUUUUUUUUUUAAACAUUCUGUAUGCUGCCCUUUUAUUCCAGUUUUAUUCUCUUUGAGUCAUUGGAAGAGAAAUAGCACCCCUGCCAUGGGAGCCAACCUCUCUCCAUGUGGAGUAGGCCUUGGGACGUGCUACUGAGAACCCUGGGAGAAAGUGUACAACAGAGAAAUGCCCCCUGGCAGCACAUUAUGGCUGUGGUUUAAAGCUCAAUAUCUCAAGGAGUGCUGGAGCUCCCACUCCGCUGCAUACAGAAUUGCAAAGAUGCUACACCUUGCUGCUUCCUGGCAGCAUCGAGCAGUUCACGGAGCUACGAGUUUCCAUCAUCUCCUCCACUCUGAGGGUCUGGCAGCAAGAUCCUGGGAGGACCCACAGUGCCGUCUGACCUUAACCUGUAUCCUCUCCCAGGAGCCCAGGGUGAGCCACCAGCCCUAGGCUAGGGGAGCCCACCCUUUCCUUCUUAGGGAGCACAGAUAGGCUCAGGCCCAAGCAUAGUGUCUUAAGACUGACCUGAGAGAACAUGGUAUCAGUGCAUACAUUGAUGGGAAGGAAGGAUGGUGAUCCAAUAGGCCAUUGGCUUUGUGGAACAACAGUCUUGAAAGCUGUUGGAGAAGAUAGGUGUAGCCAACUCUGGAGGCCUGGCCUGAAAAGGAGCAAAGCCUGAAGAGAAGGCAUGGUGAGUGCUCUGGGUGUCCAAACUAGGGGGUACAGAGUAAAAUUUCCUG
rnacentral:lncRNA from 1 species